rnacentral:piRNA from 1 species
UAAACAGACAAACAGACUUGAGUCAGACC